UGUUACAUCAUAAUUGUUGCUGUAUGUUAGGGGGCUAAUAACGUACUUCAAAUAUAACGUUUACGAUUAAAUAUUAACGUUUGUUAACGUGUUAACAAGAGUCUACUGAAUAAUAUAAAAUGAAUGUUGUUUGACUGGAUGUAUAGAAGAUACAAGUGCAACACUGUUCAUACUUUUGUGUUUAAUUUUUCAAGUGAUUGUGUGAUAUCCAUCAACUUAUUGAUUUUUUUUCUUUUACUAUAACAAUUGACAAAACGGUUAUUUUAACAACUACUCUUCUAUUUCUGCCUUCACCUUUUGUGUAUCUGACUAUCAGUUAUGACAGGUAAGAAGCCAUUACAUUUCCAAAAUCUUACUAACUUAAGUGAAUUAAUUUUUGUUUUGUUUGUUUGUUUUUAUUUUUAGGAAGAAGCAGUGCACAUCAACCAUGUUGGAAGCAUUCAAGGAUGAGACAAAAUGGCAGGAGAAAGAAGUGCAGAACAUCAGAGUACAUCUUGAACAUCUUGAUGUUGCCAGAUGCUGUCCUGUCAGAAGUUCUUCUUCACGUGGUCCUGGAGGAGGGUGAUGCUGCUGCAUUGUUAAAUCUCUCUUUGGUUUGUUCCAAAUUCAGAAGUCUGGUGGACAGGCACACUUCUGCUGGCUUGAUGCUGUAACUAAAUGGAGUACAAAGUCUGAGCCAUCCCAGGACCUUUAGAAAAUGUUUACACUUCAGCCAACACUGCAAUGAAGUGUACAAUAACUGCUUACCUGGGGCCUGUUGCACAAAAGUAGAAUUAAGACAUCCAGGCUAAA